rnacentral:rRNA from 1 species
AUGCUUAAAAUUGAUCCGGCUAAAGCUUUUGAUCGUUUAGAGUGGAAUUUCAUUGUUUCUGCUCUUGCUCCUAAAUGGCUGCAUGGUCAUUUUAUCAACUUGGUGCAUGCCUGUAUUUCCUCUCCCAUGUUCUGUGUUCUCAUUAAUGGUCAACCUUCCCCUAAGUUUAAAACGCAUAGAGGUAUCAAACAAGGUUGUCCCAUGUCUCCUUAUCUUUUUGUCCUGGCCAUAAAUGAACUUUCUAUCAUGCUUAAUGAAGCUCUGCGGGCCAAUCAUUUGCAGGGAAUUUCGCUUGGACCAAACUGCCCUUCUGUUCAUUCUCUUCUUUUUGCAGAUGAUCUCCUGGUCUGUGGUCAGGCUACUUUGCAGGAAGCUCACACUAUGUUUGACUUGAUCCACCACUUUUGUACCCUCUCGGGUCAAAUUCCUAACUGGGAUAAGUCUGCUAUUCUCUUUAGCAGCCAUGUAGUCAAACUAUCAUUAAUGAUAUCAAACUUAUCUUUCCAGUGGCUAACCUUGAUGACAGGUUCACUCACCUUGGUCAUCCUCUGA